rnacentral:rRNA from 1 species
GACGAACGCUGGCGGCGUGCCUAAUACAUGCAAGUAGAACGCUGAAGGAGGAGCUUGCUUCUCUGGACGAGUUGCGAACGGGUGAGUAACGCGUAGGUAACCUGCCUGGUAGCGGGGGAUAACUAUUGGAAACGAUAGCUAAUACCGCAUAAUAGUAGAUGUUGCAUGACAUUUGCUUAAAAGGUGCAAUUGCACCACUACCAGAUGGACCUGCGUUGUAUUAGCUAGUUGGUGAGGUAACGGCUCACCAAGGCGACGAUACAUAGCCGACCUGAGAGGGUGAUCGGCCACACUGGGACUGAGACACGGCCCAGACUCCUACGGGAGGCAGCAGUAGGGAAUCUUCGGCAAUGGACGGAAGUCUGACCGAGCAACGCCGCGUGAGUGAAGAAGGUUUUCGGAUCGUAAAGCUCUGUUGUAAGAGAAGAACGAGUGUGAGAGUGGAAAGUUCACACUGUGACGGUAUCUUACCAGAAAGGGACGGCUAACUACGUGCCAGCAGCCGCGGUAAUACGUAGGUCCCGAGCGUUGUCCGGAUUUAUUGGGCGUAAAGCGAGCGCAGGCGGUUAGAUAAGUCUGAAGUUAAAGGCUGUGGCUUAACCAUAGUACGCUUUGGAAACUGUUUAACUUGAGUGCAAGAGGGGAGAGUGGAAUUCCAUGUGUAGCGGUGAAAUGCGUAGAUAUAUGGAGGAACACCGGUGGCGAAAGCGGCUCUCUGGCUUGUAACUGACGCUGAGGCUCGAAAGCGUGGGGAGCAAACAGG